UAGAGAGAGACAUGCGCGCAUAUCAAUAAGCGGAGGAAAAGAAGCUAACUAGGAUUCCCUCAGUAACGGCGAGUGAAGCGGGAAGAGCUCAAAUUUGAAAUCUUAAAGGGUUUCCCUUUACGAAUUGUAGUUUAAAGAAGUGUUUUCUGUUGAGGUUUUGGUAAAAGUUCUUUGGAAUAGGACAUCAUAGAGGGUGAGAAUCCCGUAUUUGACCUUUACUUUCAACUUUGUGAUACACUUUCAAAGAGUCGGAUUGUUUGGGAAUGCAGUCCAAAAUGGGUGGUAAAUUUCAUCUAAAGCUAAAUAUUGGCGAGAGACCGAUAGCGAACAAGUACCGUGAGGGAAAGAUGAAAAGAACUUUGAAAAGAGAGUUAAACAGUACGUGAAAUUGUCAAAAGGGAAGCGUUUGACACCAGUGUUGUUUUUCUGAAAAUCAAUUAAAGAACUGUUUAUGCUAAGCUGUUUAGACUUUAUCAGCUAACUGUUUAGUUUUGAGCUUUUCUUUAAUGCACUUUUCAGUUAACAAGUCAACAUCAAUUUCUUUUGCUGUAAAAAAGCUUGAGGAAGGUGGCUUGAGAUUCGUCUUAAGUGUUUAUAGCCUCUUGCCUAUGCAGUCGGAGAGAUUGAGGUCUGCAGCGUAGAUCCUUCGGGGCUAAAUGCAUUUGUGCUAAGUUAUAGCAUUUUAUAGACAACUUGUUGACUAUGAUUUGUCUUGUAGCUUACUCGCUUAUGUUAUUUUACCUACGCUUAGGAUGUUGAUGUGAUACUGCGAGCA
rnacentral:rRNA from 1 species